rnacentral:tRNA from 1 species
GCCCGAAUGGUGGAAUUGGCUAUACACUGGAGACUUAAAAUCUCCCGCCUUUUUAGGAUUGCGAGUUCGACUCUCGCUUCGGGCACCA